rnacentral:rRNA from 1 species
UACGGAGGGGGCUAGCGUUGUUCGGAAUUACUGGGCGUAAAGCGCACGUAGGCGGACUCUUAAGUCGGUGGUGAAAUCCUGGAGCUCAACUCCAGAACUGCCUUCGAUACUGGCGAUCUCGAGUUCGGGAGAGGUGAGUGGAACUGCGAGUGUAGAGGUGAAAUUCGUAGAUAUUCGCAAGAACACCAGCGGCGAAGGCGGCUCACUGGCCCGAUACUGACGCUGAGGUGCGAAAGCGUGGGGAGCAAACAGG